UUUGUUAGUGUGAAAGGAACUAUUGUCAGAGUGAGUAACAUCAAGCCAUUGUGUAUUCAACUGGCCUUCCAGUGUUCAAGCUGCGCUCACAUACAGGCACAUGCUUUACCAGAUGGAAAAUAUACCAUGCCAACAAAGUGCCCAACUGAUGGUUGUCGCAGUAGAACUUUCCUUCCUUGUCGCAGCCACAGCCAAACUGAAACCAUUGACUGGCAAACCAUCAGG
rnacentral:sRNA from 1 species